UACGGGGGGUGCUAGCGUUAUUCGGAAUCAUUGGGAGUAAAGGGCGCGUAGGCGGUCGCUUAAGUCAGAUGUGAAAGCCCUCGGCUUAACCGAGGAAGUGCAUUUGAUACUAAGUGACUUGAGUAUGGGAGAGGGAAGCGGAAUUCCUGGUGUAGCGGUGAAAUGCGUAGAUAUCAGGAGGAACACCGGUGGCGAAGGCGGCUUCCUGGACCAAUACUGACGCUGAGGCGCGAAGGCGUGGGGAGCAAACAGG
rnacentral:rRNA from 1 species